UACAGAGGGGGCAAGCGUUGUUCGGAAUUACUGGGCGUAAAGGGCGCGUAGGCGGCCUUCUAAGUCGAACGUGAAAUCCCCAGGCUUAACCUGGAACUGCGUCGGAUACUGGAUGGCUUGAAUUCGGGAGAGGGAUGCAGAAUUCCAGGUGUAGCGGUGAAAUGCGUAGAUAUCUGGAGGAAUACCGGUGGCGAAGGCGGCAUCCUGGACCGACAUUGACGCUG
rnacentral:rRNA from 1 species